GUCAAAUCAUCAUGCCCCUUAUGUCCCGGGCUACACACGUACUACAAUGGCGGUCAACAACGGGAAGCGAAGCGGCGACGCGGAGCAAAUCCCCAAAAGCCGUCUCAGUUCGGAUCGCAGGCUGCAACCCGCCUGCGUGAAGUCGGAAUUGCUAGUAAUCGCAGAUCAGCCAAGCUGCGGUGAAUACGUUCCCGGGCCUU
rnacentral:rRNA from 1 species